GAAGGUGCGGCUGGAUCACCUCCUUUCU
rnacentral:ncRNA from 4 species